UUUCCGUAGGUGAACCUGCGGAAGGAUCAUUACUGAGUUCUGGGUUCUCUUUCGAGGCCCGACCUCCAACCCUUUGUUUAUAUGACCACGUUGCUUCGGCAGGCCCGUCUCUCGGGACCGCCGGGGGGUGAUAAACCAUCCUCUGGUCCGCUGCCUGCCGAUAGCCCAAUUAUCCAAACUCUUGAACAAACCAUGUCGUCUGAGUAACCAAAUAAAUUAAAACAAAACUUUCAACAACGGAUCUCUUGGUUCUGGCAUCGAUGAAGAACGCAGC
rnacentral:misc_RNA from 1 species